rnacentral:rRNA from 1 species
GAUGAACGCUGGCGGCGUGCCUAAUACAUGCAAGUCGAGCGAACGGACGAGAAGCUUGCUUUUCUGAUGUUAGCGGCGGACGGGUGAGUAACACGUGGAUAACCUACCUAUAAGACUGGGAUAACUUCGGGAAACCGGAGCUAAUACCGGAUAAUAUUUUGAACCGCAUGGUUCAAAAGUGAAAGACGGUCUUGCUGUCACUUAUAGAUGGAUCCGCGCUGCAUUAGCUAGUUGGUAAGGUAACGGCUUACCAAGGCAACGAUGCAUAGCCGACCUGAGAGGAUGAUCGGCCACACUGGAACUGAGACACGGUCCAGACUCCUACGGGAGGCAGCAGUAGGGAAUCUUCCGCAAUGGGCGCAAGCCUGACGGAGCAACGCCGCGUGAGUGAUGAAGGUCUUCGGAUCGUAAAACUCUGUUAUUAGGGAAGAAAAUAUGUGUAAGUAACUGUGCACAUCUUGACGGUACCUAAUCAGAAAGCAACGGCUAACUACGUG